UGGGGUUUCUAACCGGCAUUCACCAUGACCUGAUAAUAUGCAAUGCCCUUGGAAAUCCCAAA
rnacentral:pre_miRNA from 1 species